rnacentral:rRNA from 1 species
UAGGGAAUCUUCGGCAAUGGGGGGAACCCUGACCGAGCAACGCCGCGUGAGUGAAGAAGGUUUUCGGAUCGUAAAGCUCUGUUGUUAAGGAAGAACGAGUGUGAGAAUGGAAAGUUCAUACUGUGACGGUACUUAACCAGAAAGGGACGGCUAACUACGUGCCAGCAGCCGCGGUAAUACGUAGGUCCCGAGCGUUGUCCGGAUUUAUUGGGCGUAAAGCGAGCGCAGGCGGUUAGAUAAGUCUGAAGUUAAAGGCAGUGGCUCAACCAUUGUAGGCUUUGGAAACUGUUUAACUUGAGUGCAGAAGGGGAGAGUGGAAUUCCAUGUGUAGCGGUGAAAUGCGUAGAUAUAUGGAGGAACACCGGUGGCGAAAGCGGCUCUCUGGUCUGUAACUGACGCUGAGGCUCGAAAGCGUGGGGAGCGAACAGGAUUAGAUACCCUGGUAGUCCACGCCGUAAACGAUGAGUGCUAGGUGUUAGGUCCUUUCCGGGACUUUAGUGCCGCAGCUAAACGCAUUAAGCACUCCGCCUGGGGAGUACGACCGCAAGGUUGA